GCUUUGGAAGUCUCAGAGCUAUUUCUGGCUGCCUCCACCAGCAUACCCCUGCAUGGUGUAUAAGAGACAGGAGGAAUAGCAAGGAAGCCUUUGCUGCGAAUCCCAUUUCAGCUCAGCACUUCUGUAAAUUUAAGAAUUUGCAUAAAAACUCCACGUCUCUACUGUGAUUGCUAAAUUGGGCUUUAGGAGAAAAUGAUUAGAAAAAAAAAAAAGAAAAGAAGCAACAGAAUGGAAUAGAGGAAUCUUUAAGUGCCUGCAUACAUCUUGUAUCUUCGUGUCACAUCUUUGGCAAAAUUUUCUGGUCUAAUGGCCAGAAUGGGUCAAAGGUGUUCAGGUAAAGCAGAUGUCUAAAGGCUUCUCCAGACGUGGCUGCUGAGCUGUAGGUCUGUGAGAAAGUAAAACUCAGACUAUGCCUAAAUGCCAGCCAUUUAUGUUUAUUGCUAGUUGUCAUGGGGUCCUGGUCUCAUUCUGCUUCUAACGAUUAUUUCUCACCAUUAGAAAUCGGCACUGGGACUAGGAGACACAGGUGAGACCCUGAGGCUGGGUCUGCCUUGCAGCUUGAAGACAGUGCCAUGGUUGUCUGUGUGGGGUGUUCACAGCAGAGCACCAUCACCCAGUGCUUGGCCUAGGGUGGGAAACCCAAAGUAGCUGCUGCCUGGAUCUUUGUCGUUGCACACAGCAGAGCUGUCUCCUAUCACAGUAUAUUGUUCAGCUGUGUCACUCACUGCCACAGGAGACUGGUUGCCAAAAGCUUAAAUGGCGCAAAAGGCAAUUAGAUGAGUUCAUGGAAGAGCAAUACAGCAAGGCCGAUAACACAUGGAACUUGCCUCAAGCGUAGGAAGUCACUAAGCAUAGCUCCCUGGAGAAUGCCAGAGCACACAGGCUGUGUGUCUGCCCUGGUCUGAACCUCUUCUUUAGGCAUCCGCAGCUCUGUGGAGUCAGAAACAGGAUAUUGGGUCAGGGGGAGACAACCUGGCCAUUCUCAUGGAGAUGGUUUGUUUUCAUCUCAUUUAGACAGCAAUGGAAGAUGUUACGUCUGUACGACCUCCUUCAUGAGUGGUGUGAGCCCUUAGCAUCUCUGAGAGCUGUUUCUGCUACACAGAACCUCUGCUCAACUUUAGGAGCCAGUGCCGAGGGGGGUGGCUGUCACUGUGGCAUUAAGGACAUGAUGAGUGGGCACAGUGGGGAUGGGUUGGUUGAUGGUUGCACUAAAUGAUCUUAGUGGUCUUUUCCAACCUUAAUGAGUCUAUUGUUCUUGCGUCCUGCUGAAGAGCAUUGUGCCUGUGUUGGGGUUUGCAUUGCUCAUAUUAGCGAGGAGGAGGGAUUUAAAGAGGGUGAUUUGGCAAUUCCAGUAUCAGCAGGAGCUGAUCCCAGCAGCCCAACAUAAUCACUGGGAAUGGAGAAAAUCCAGGAGGUUUCACUGGAACUGAGCAAGAGCUUGACAGCUGGCAAACGCCCAUACGCUUUGCACCAAGAUGAACCCUACUGGAAACUUGACUUUGCUGAUGCUCUACGUAAACUGCAUUUUCAUGGCAGUCCAUUAUGCAGAAGGACACUUCCUUGCUUAAAGGAUUCUCAAUGUCACCGGGUGGUGGCCAAGACCUGGGUGCUUCUUAAACGCUUGUGCAGACGGUGUGAGAGUCAGCGGGGCUUUGCUGAGGCUGGAAAGCUGCCAGAGAGCCCUUCCAGUGGCUGGCUGCUGGGAAAACCCAAAGAGCACAACUGGGAGCCUGAAUGACAUUGUUGAUGGGCCAGCAGCUGUUUGGAAGCUGCCAGACCUUUGCUGCUUGGUGAGCUUUUCUCUUCGAGCUUGGGAAAUGUCCCCAGUGGGAGCUGUGACCUGCCACUGCUGUCACCUGUGGGAAUGCAACACCUGCAGACCCCAGCCGGCUCCUUCCUGCUCCUUCAUCUUGGAAUACCAGCUGCAGGUUGCUUAUCAUCGGUCCGAGCCCUGAAGCAGAGGUACUGAUUCCGAUCUGCAGCUGCAGCCGGGCUUAAAUCUUGAUCUGCAAACGGGAGGAUUUGUACAGUAUUUCACCACCUGCUUCCCAGUGCCAGCAGCCCCUUCCCCAUCGCUCUCACCGUCAGCAGGAGCUCUGGGCACAGCCAAACAUGUGGCAGAGAAAUCUCCAGCUUUGCUGAAAAGUGCACAAGCAACCGGAGAAGAAAGCAAUGCAAUCCAAGAGGAUCAACAGAGCCAUUAUAUGAAAAUCAAUUCUAAUUCUAACCCAGUCAAUAAGGAGCUGCAUCAGAUGGGAGAGGGAUGGGUGUGCCGUGGUAGCUUUGAAGUCUCCUUCCCAGGCUCUCUGUGCCAAGGCCUUACUGAAUGUCUUUCAAACCCUACACACUUUCAUAGUCUGCACAAAGAAGGUAGCACCUCAGUAGUAAUAGGAGUCUGCAGUUUUCCCCAUAAAACAUUGCCCGGGCAAUGUGGGGUCAUGAGACUCAGGACAGGUUUGGAAAUGCCAUAAAAAACCUUUCCUAUCUGAAGCAAUCAGAAAGCCCAGGUGAGGAAAUGCAACUCUUGAUUCAUUCCUGGGGAACUCACUGAAGACGUAACUACAAAUGAGCUAUUCUCUACAGUAGUGACUGAUCUUAUCACAUUCAACAUCCUUAUGGAACAGCAUGAUAGAAAAGAUGCAUUUCACUUUAAAAGGAGGAGAUGAAUGAGGAGAAGAAUGAGGAAGCAAGCUAAGAAGAUACUGGAACAAACAUCAAAUUAAAAAAAUAUAUAGUUACAUUAGUGCUACCUACAAGCAGAUAUUGCUCGUUUUGGUGCUUAACAAAAGCAAAUGCUCUGGAAAGUAAGCCAGCGGGACAACACUGGAUGAUGGGC
ensembl:lncRNA